rnacentral:rRNA from 1 species
CAGUCGCUGUGCAAGGCGUGCGGGAUCCGGUACCGGAAGAGGCGGCGGGUGGCCAUGGGGCUCGACCCGGAGGCCAAGACCGCAGCCACAGCCGAGGCCUCUACCCAGGAGGAGGACAAGGCCGGCGACGACGACAAGGCCGGCGAGGAGAAGGCCAGCACCAAGAAGACCAAGACGACCACAAAGACGACGCACACAGUUGAGCUCCACAUGGUGGGGUUCGCCAAGGACGCCGUGCUCAAGCAGCGACGCCGCAUGCGGAGGAAGCCGUCGUGCCUGGGCGAGGAGGAGCGGGCCGCCAUACUCCUCCUGUCGCUCUCAUCAGGUGUAAUAUACGCCUGA